rnacentral:lncRNA from 1 species
AUGUCCUACAAGCUGCAGAGAUUAGAUCUAGGACCUAAGGUUUGGGCUAGAAUAGAGAACUGGGCUGUAAGCCAGAGAGUAACUUAUAGUGUAGUUGGCACAAAAGAGUACAUACUUGAAGCUUUUGGAUAUGUACAGUUGAGACCAGAAUUAGGAAUGCGAGGGAGUCAUGUGAUUUGGAAUGGCAGCUAUCUGGGAUUUAGAGGAUGUUUAGAUCCUUUCAAGUAAUGCAGUCUGGCAGAGUGUGGAGGGCUGCUGGGGGCAUGCCUUUCUUUUACUGGUUGUGUUUCCUUGUCCCUUUCAAGAGUCUAACAGAGAGCAGGUAUGUGAUACAUAUCAUGAAACGAUUAAGAAAUUCAAGGCAAAUAGAUUAUCUCAGCUCUUACUAGAUAUGUGUUCCCAGUGUGGACCAUUUUGAUGGGUGCAGCUAUUCAGUCAUGGGCCAUAUCCUCAUAUUUUAUUUUUAAGAAAUUGUAUUUGAAAAUAGUUUCAAACUUUAAAAGUGUUUCAAGAAUAAAAAUGACAUAAGAAGUGGAUAUUCUCUUUACUGAGAUGUACUUGUUACCAACAUAUUGUUCCAUUUGUUCUCUCUGCUGCAUACACACAUGCACAUACACAUGCAUACACGCACACAGAUUUUUGUCCUCGACCGUUUGAUGGCAUCUGUCAUGGCCCUUGUAAGCACUUUAGUGUCUAUUUCCCAAGAAUUGGAAUAUUCUCUUAUGUGAUGUAAGAGUUAUCAGUCAGUUGAUACCAAUACUUUAAACUACUGUCUGUUUUCCAGCUUUGUCACUUUACUCAGUAACAUAUUUUUUUUUUUUUUGGCAGUAUAUGGAAAGUGGUUUUAUUAUAGAGAUGGCAGUGUUGGUUCAGCAUUGGAAGAUCCACCCCCAAAAGU